UGGGGAAUCUUGCGCAAUGGCCGAAAGGCUGACGCAGCGACGCCGCGUGCGGGAGGAAGGCCUUCGGGUCGUAAACCGCUGUCAGCGGGGACGAACACUCUGGGGAGGCAAUGCCCUGGGGCUGACGGUACCCGCAGAGGAAGCACCGGCUAACUCCGUGCCAGCAGCCGCGGUAAUACGGAGGGUGCGAGCGUUGUUCGGAAUCAUUGGGCGUAAAGCGCGCGCAGGCGGCUCUUUAAGUCUACGGGUGAAAUGCCGGGGCUCAACCCCGUGCAUGCCCGAGAUACUGGAGGGCUGGAGACACGUAGAGGCAAGCGGAAUUCCGGGUGUAGCGGUGGAAUGCGUAGAGAUCCGGAAGAACACCGGAGGCGAAGGCGGCUUGCUGGGCGUGAUCUGACGCUGAGGCGCGAAAGCGUGGGGAGCGAACAGG
rnacentral:rRNA from 1 species